rnacentral:tRNA from 1 species
GCGGAAUCCGAAUUUUUCGGGCACGCCUGGAAAGCGUGUAACCGGCAAAACCGGUUCGGGGGUUCGAAUCCCCCUCUUUCCGCU